rnacentral:rRNA from 1 species
CAGUAGCCGCGGUAACACGUAGGUGGCAAGCGUUGUCCGGAAUUAUUGGGCGUAAAGCGCGCGCAGGCGGUUUCUUAAGCCUGAUGUGAAAGCCCCCGGCUCAACCGGGGAGGGUCAUUGGAAACUGGGAAACUUGAGUGCAGAAGAGGAGAGUGGAAUUCCACGUGUAGCGGUGAAAUGCGUAGAGAUGUGGAGGAACACCAGUGGCGAAGGCGACUCUCUGGUCUGUAACUGACGCUGAGGAGCGAAAGCGUGGGGAGCGAACAGGAUUAGAGACCCCUGUAGUCCCUGUCUCUUAUAC